CCUACGGGAGGCAGCAGUGGGGAAUAUUGCACAAUGGGGGAAACCCUGAUGCAGCGACGCCGCGUGAGUGAAGAAGUAAUUCGGUACGUAAAGCUCUAUCAGCAGGGAAGAAAAUGACGGUACCUGAGUAAGAAGCCACGGCUAACUACGUGGCAGCAGCCGCGGUAAUACGGAGGGGGCAAGCGUUAUCCGGAUUUACUGGGUGUAAAGGGAGAGUAGGCGGUGCGGCAAGUAUGGAGGGAAAGGCCGCAGCUUAACUGCGGAACUGCUUUGGAAACUGGCGAACUAGAGUGCGGGAGGGGUAAGCGGAAUUCCUAGUGUAGCGGUGAAAUGCGUAGAUAUUAGGAGGAACACCGAUGGCGAAGGCGGCUUACUGGACCGUAACUGACGUUGAGGCUCGAAAGCGUGGGGAGCAAACAGGAUUAGAUACCCCUGUAGUC
rnacentral:rRNA from 1 species